GUGUUGCUCAAUGUCCUAGACACUUACCGUUUCUGAAAAGUGGGGAGGAAAAGAUUGUAAACACAUGAAUUUUGACUGUGUUUCCUUAUUGUUUCUGAAAUUUUGCUUGUGUUUCACCCACUACACUUUUUUUUUUACUCCUCACAUGGUUGAUAAUCUUCAUGAUUUUGUUUGACUUGUAAUGUUUUCGAUCUGAUGUGUAAUCUGUAUUCCAGUAGACAUGUCUGAAGGAGUGCUGCGAGCUCUUUCUCUGCAAGCAUUAGGCCUGGGUGUUGAUAUUCAACUUGGGAUGGCAAUCGAUAGUACAAAGGCUACACUAGCAGUGAAACGGAGGCUUGCCAUGGUGAAGUACUGGCAUAUCGCUUGCCAAUGUUUCAGAUUCAUCUAAAACCAAAGGUCCUAUCCAUUGAAUAUUAUAUAAAUGAUUAUGAUUGUCUUGUCAUGUUAUUUCUUUUUCAGGAUCUUGAUUGGAAAAUGGAUCUGUUUCAGUUAAAAGCAAGUUUGAUGAUAAAAUAGAGGCCGCUUCAGCUAAAAUGAUUUAUUAGAAAAACAAGUGGAGAUACAACCAGCAAGAACUAAAGAUCCUUCAAAGAGAAAAAAGGUACUUGCAUCUAGUUAAACCAUUACUAGCUUGUUUGACUAUAUCCCUAUUUGCUUGCAGGUUAUACAAUGAGACUAUAAGCUGAGUUCAUAUUCUUUGAAUUCUGUUUCUGCACACUUUCUCGCAGAGCAGGUGGUCUGGUGUUUACUGAUAGAGUCGUUCCCAGAAUCGGCCCUGAAUGAACAGGCAGGCAAGAUGUUACCUAAGAAUUACGAGGAGUGUGCAAGGCAUGCCAGGUAAGGCCCCACCAAGACUGGGAGCAAGAUGGAUUCACUCAUUUUUAUACCCGACCUUGUCAAAACCACAAAGUCUGAACAGUCUGUUGCUGUUGUUGGGAGAGAACCAUUGCCAGUUUCUCAGUCAGAAGAACAGAAAUUUAUUGAACAAGAAACAGGCAAGGAAACUGAGAUUGAGCCUAAAAAUGCAAGCGUUCAGAGGCCAGUUGACCUUUAUAAGGAACCCAUUAUGCUGCAGUUGUUGAGAACCGUACAGAUUUCCAUGGUCGUGUGGUGGUUGAUGUUGGUGCUGGUAGUAGUAUUCUUUCAUUAUUUGUUGUGUAAAUUACUACAUUUUGUUGUGUAAAGAUGUUGUGGGUGGAAGGCUAGGAAAGGAAGACAUUUGUAGUUUGUUUUAGUAAAUUAAUUGUUUUGUUGAUAUUGUGCUGAUUAUUGUCUUGAUGAAUGUUAAAUGGGUGAAAUAUGUACAGGUUCAAUCAUUU